UGGAGGACAAAGGGCACGUUAAUACUCAGAGGUCUUGGGAUCAUGUGACUCUAUGACUAUGCCUGAGAUUUAUUGUUACUUCAAAUUGAAACAAAAUAAAAAGUGUCUGAGGUGAACGAACAUCAUCUUAAUAUUCUAAUGUCUUGGGAUCCUGACAUUAUAAAAUUAUGACUAUGCCUGAAACUUGCUGCUUGAAAGUGAAACCAAAUAAAAGAUAUCUGAGGUAGAGAACAUCUUAUCAAUAUUCUAAUGUCCCAUGAGUGUGUGUUUGUGCCUAAAAUUUACUUUCUAAUCAGGACCACACCAUUAAUUGAUGUAUGAUUACAUGAAAAAUGUUGGAAAAUAUAAAAAAGUGGCCGCCUUAUGCAUCAAAAAGAAAUUUGUAAUGUAAUUUGUCUUCUUUUUCAACAUAAUUUGCAUAUCAGUAUUUGUCAGAAUAAUCUAAAACUAUUUCACAGCUGAUCAGAGGCUACGAUCUUACAGAAUCACCAUUUAUAUUAACGGAAAAUCAUAUUGCAUAAAAAAACAAUGAAAAUAAUGACCCUGUUUCCCACUGAGGCACGGCGAGAAGCCAGGAAAUAGCCACGGGACCUUCUGACAAGAGUACUCUAGGUAAAGUGAGUUGAGGGAGUGAGUCUUGAACUUUAGCCUUUUGUGAUGUGGAAGCAGCUGAUUGACUGAUUGGGUUAGGUAUUUAUGGCACUGAAGUUAUAAAGGAGCAGAUGUGUUUCUUAUAGUUCUCCCUCAUGACAGUGAAAUAGGGAUAAUUCUGUACUCCCAUGCCUCAAGAAGGAGAGUAGCUGAUUGACUGAUUGGGUUAGGUAUUUAUGGCACUGAAGUUACAAAGGAGCAGCUGUUUCUUAUAGUUCUCCCUCAUGACAUAGUGAAAUAAGGAUAAAUUCUGUACUCCCAUGCCUCAAGAAGGAGAGUAAUGUGGAAGUAGCUGCUUGACUGAUUGGGUUAGGUAUUUAUAGCACUGCAGUUACAUAGGAGCAGCUGUGUUUCUUAUAGUUCUCCCUCAUGACAUAGUGAAAUAAGGAUAAAUUCUGUACUCCCAUGCCUCAAGAAGGAGAGGAAAAUAAUGACACAUAAUAAUAACAAUAAUAAUACGAGUAACAAUAAUAAUAAUAGCAAUAACACUAAUCCUGCCACCUAGUACAAUAUAACCCAAAGCUAACCCAACGUUGCACACAUACAUAAAAAUAUUGAAAGGCAAAAAAUUUCUUUCCUUAAAAAAAAGAGACCAAAUUUUUAACCGUAGGCCUUAAUCUAUGUUACGAGGGGGGUUGGUUACUUACUUUGGCUCAAGUUGGUUAAGUUAGCUCAGGUGUUACCAAACAUUGCAAGUUGAUCAAGUCUUUCCAAGCCAAGUAUAGGGACAAGCAGGGAUCUAGUGCUAUCCAAGACUCAAGGAAGGAGCAAUGAAGAGGAUCAGACCCAUAUUUUCAGUUGCUUUCGGGGCCCACAACAACAACUUCCAAAGGCCAUGAAGGAGAUAAGUUGGAUUCUUGGAGUGUUUUUUUUUAUAUUCAAGGUACAACAAGUAAUUCCCAAAGCCACAGAGGAGAUAAAUUGGGUUCUUGGAGGGUUUUUUUUCGCAUUUACAGUGCAAGAACUUUUUUUCCAAGGCCAUGAAGGAGAUAAGUCGGAUUCUUGGAGUGUUUUUUUUUUGGCAUUCAUGGUGCAAAAACUAAUUCCCAAAGCCACAGAGGAGAUAAAUCGGGUUCUUGGAGUUUUUUUUUUCGCAUUUACAGUGCAAGAACUUUUUUUCCAAGGCCAUGAAGGAGAUAAGUCAGGUUCUUGGAGUGUUUUUUUAUGCAUUCACAGUACAACAAUUAUUUCCCAAGGCCAUGAAGGAGAUUAAUCAGGUUCUUGGAGUGUUGUUUUUUCAUUCAUGGUACAACAACUAUUUUCCGAGGCCACAGAGGAGGAUAGUCGAGUUCUGGUAAGUGUUUUUUUACAUUCAUGGUGCAGAAGCCUUGUCAAACAAUCACUCGGCUCAUAAAGCAACCCUUGGAAAUGACAAAAGCCUCUAGGAAAGCCUUACCGAAUGUGGGUGUGUGAGCCCCGAAAUGUUUGAGGAUAUGGGCCUUGAUCUUUUUGUUACUCUAUGCAUCCAGACACAGGGAGGGAGGGAAGGGAAGGGAAGGUUGCAUGCACUCAAAAGAAUACAGUAAAUCCCUUCUUGAACUUGAUGUCAUGGGGAACUAGGAAAGUCUCUCUCUCUCUCUCAUUUUUUUUUACAGGAAAGGAGGCAGCUAAAAAAUAAAUA